rnacentral:tRNA from 1 species
GACUUGGUAGCCUAGUUGGUGAAGGCAGCACUUCUAGUAUAUUUUCUUUGCUUCUAGCUAGGUUUUCUGGCUCAAAUCCUGCCCAAGUUA